rnacentral:rRNA from 1 species
UACGAAGGGGCUAGCGUUGCUCGGAAUCACUGGGCGUAAAGCGCACGUAGGCGGCUUCUUAAGUCAGGGGUGAAAUCCUGGAGCUCAACUCCAGAACUGCCUUUGAUACUGAGAAGCUUGAGUCCGGGAGAGGUGAGUGGAACUGCGAGUGUAGAGGUGAAAUUCGUAGAUAUUCGCAAGAACACCAGUGGCGAAGGCGGCU